rnacentral:rRNA from 1 species
UAUUGCGCAAUGGACGAAAGUCUGACGCAGCGACGCCGCGUGGGCGAAGAAGGCCUUCGGGUUGUAAAGCCCUGUCAGGGGGGACGAAGGCGCAAGCUGACGGUACCUCCAGAGGAAGCCCCGGCCAACUACGUGCCAGCAGCCGCGGUAAUACGUAGGGGGCGAGCGUUGUCCGGAAUCAUUGGGCGUAAAGAGCACGUAGGCGGCCUGUCAAGUCGGAUGUGAAAACCCGCGGCUCAACUGCGGGACUGCAUUCGAAACUGGCAGGCUUGAGUCCAGUAGAGGAAAGUGGAAUUCCCAGUGUAGCGGUGAAAUGCGCAGAUAUUGGGAAGAACACCGGUGGCGAAGGCGGCUUUCUGGGCUGUGACUGACGCUGAGGUGCGAAAGCUAGGGGAGCGAACAGG